rnacentral:rRNA from 1 species
UUAAGCGACUAAGCGUACACGGUGGAUGCCCUGGCAGUCAGAGGCGAUGAAGGGCGUGCUAAUCUGCGAUAAGCGCCGGUAAGGUGAUAUGAACCGUUAUAACCGGCGAUACCCGAAUGGGGAAACCCAGUGUGAUUCGUCACACUAUCAUUAACUGAAUCCAUAGGUUAAUGAGGCGAACCGGGGGAACUGAAACAUCUAAGUACCCCGAGGAAAAGAAAUCAACCGAGAUUCCCCCAGUAGCGGCGAGCGAACGGGGAGGAGCCCAGAGCCUGAAUCAGCAUGUGUGUUAGUGGAAGCGUCUGGAAAGGCGCGCGAUACAGGGUGACAGCCCCGUACACAAAAGCGCAUGUGUUGUGAGCUCGAUGAGUAGGGCGGGACACGUGGUAUCCUGUCUGAAUAUGGGGGGACCAUCCUCCAAGGCUAAAUACUCCUGACUGACCGAUAGUGAACCAGUACCGUGAGGGAAAGGCGAAAAGAACCCCGGCGAGGGGAGUGAAAAAGAACCUGAAACCGUGUACGUACAAGCAGUGGGAGCUGAGGGAAAGGCGAAAAGAACCCCGGCGAGGGGAGUGAAAAAGAACCUGAAACCGUGUACGUACAAGCAGUGGGAGCCCCACCACUAAGCCAGUGGUGAACUCCACAUACGCAUCCUUUGCUGAGGAUACGGUUAACGGAGCGCAAGCGACGUUCAACCGCAAAAGAAGCAGAGGGGGCUUAGUGGUGGGGUGACUGCGUACCUUUUGUAUAAUGGGUCAGCGACUUAUAUUCUGUAGCAAGGUUAACCGUAUAGGGGAGCCGGAGGGAAACCGAGUCUUAAUUGGGCGUUAAGUUGCAGGGUAUAGACCCGAAACCCGGUGAUCUAGCCAUGGGCAGGUUGAAGGUUGGGUAACACUAACUGGAGGACCGAACCGACUAAUGUUGAAAAAUUAGCGGAUGACCUGUGGCUGGGGGUGAAAGGCCAAUCAAACCGGGAGAUAGCUGGUUCUCCCCGAAAGCUAUUUAGGUAGCGCCUCGUGAAUUCAUCUCCGGGGGUAGAGCACUGUUUCGGCUAGGGGGCCAUCCCGGCUUACCAACCCGAUGCAAACUGCGAAUACCGGAGAAUGUUAUCACGGGAGACACACGGCGGGUGCUAACGUCCGUCGUGAAGAGGGAAACAACCCAGACCGCCAGCUAAGGUCCCAAAGUCAUGGUUAAGUGGGAAACGAUGUGGGAAGGCCCAGACAGCCAGGAUGUUGGCUUAGAAGCAGCCAUCAUUUAAAGAAAGCGUAAUAGCUCACUGGUCGAGUCGGCCUGCGCGGAAGAUGUAACGGGGCUAAACCAUGCACCGAAGCUGCGGCAGCGAGUAAUAGCUCACUGGUCGAGUCGGCCUGCGCGGAAGAUGUAACGGGGCUAAACCAUGCACCGAAGCUGCGGCAGCGAACGUAUCACUUAAAGCGAUUCAGCGGGUUACGAUUGACGGAGCGAAGCGACGUCAAAGCGUAUACAAAGUCGAGUCGGUUUAAGGAUACGUUCGUUGGGUAGGGGAGCGUUCUGUAAGCCUGUGAAGGUGGCCUGUGAGGGUUGCUGGAGGUAUCAGAAGUGCGAAUGCUNGUUGGGUAGGGGAGCGUUCUGUAAGCCUGUGAAGGUGGCCUGUGAGGGUUGCUGGAGGUAUCAGAAGUGCGAAUGCUGACAUAAGUAACGAUAAAGCGGGUGAAAAGCCCGCUCGCCGGAAGACCAAGGGUUCCUGUCCAACGUUAAUCGGGGCAGGGUGAGUCGACCCCUAAGGCGAGGCCGAAAGGCGUAGUCGAUGGGAAACGGGUUAAUAUUCCCGUACUUGGUGUUACUGCGAAGGGGGGACGGAGAAGGCUAUGUUGGCCGGGCGACGGUUGUCCCGGUUUAAGCGUGUAGGUGUGUGUUCCAGGUAAAUCCGGUUCACUUUAACACUGAGGCGUGAUGACGAGGCACUACGGUGCUGAAGCAACAAAUGCCCUGCUUCCAGGAAAAGCCUCUAAGCAUCAGGUAACAUCAAAUCGUACCCCAAACCGACACAGGUGGUCAGGUAGAGAAUACCAAGGCGCUUGAGAGAACUCGGGUGAAGGAACUAGGCAAAAUGGUGCCGUAACUUCGGGAGAAGGCACGCUGACAUGUAGGUGAAGUGAUUUACUCAUGGAGCUGAAGUCAGUCGAAGAUACCAGCUGGCUGCAACUGUUUAUUAAAAACACAGCACUGUGCAAACACGAAAGUGGACGUAUACGGUGUGACGCCUGCCCGGUGCCGGAAGGUUAAUUGAUGGGGUCAGCGCAAGCGAAGCUCCUGAUCGAAGCCCCGGUAAACGGCGGCCGUAACUAUAACGGUCCUAAGGUAGCGAAAUUCCUUGUCGGGUAAGUUCCGACCUGCACGAAUGGCGUAAUGAUGGCCAGGCUGUCUCCACCCGAGACUCAGUGAAAUUGAACUCGCUGUGAAGAUGCAGUGUACCCGCGGCAAGACGGAAAGACCCCGUGAACCUUUACUAUAGCUUGACACUGAACAUUGAGCCUUGAUGUGUAGGAUAGGUGGGAGGCUUUGAAGCGUGGACGCCAGUCUGCGUGGAGCCGGCCUUGAAAUACCACCCUUUAAUGUUUGAUGUUCUAACGUGGACCCGUGAUCCGGGUUGCGGACAGUGUCUGGUGGGUAGUUUGACUGGGGCGGUCUCCUCCUAAAGAGUAACGGAGGAGCACGAAGGUUGGCUAAUCCUGGUCGGACAUCAGGAGGUUAGUGCAAUGGCAUAAGCCAGCUUGACUGCGAGCGUGACGGCGCGAGCAGGUGCGAAAGCAGGUCAUAGUGAUCCGGUGGUUCUGAAUGGAAGGGCCAUCGCUCAACGGAUAAAAGGUACUCCGGGGAUAACAGGCUGAUACCGCCCAAGAGUUCAUAUCGACGGCGGUGUUUGGCACCUCGAUGUCGGCUCAUCACAUCCUGGGGCUGAAGUAGGUCCCAAGGGUAUGGCUGUUCGCCAUUUAAAGUGGUACGCGAGCUGGGUUUAGAACGUCGUGAGACAGUUCGGUCCCUAUCUGCCGUGGGCGCUGGAGAACUGAGGGGGGCUGCUCCUAGUACGAGAGGACCGGAGUGGACGCAUCACUGGUGUUCGGGUUGUCAUGCCAAUGGCACUGCCCGGUAGCUAAAUGCGGAAGAGAUAAGUGCUGAAAGCAUCUAAGCACGAAACUUGCCCCGAGAUGAGUUCUCCCUGAGACUUAAAGUCUCCUGAAGGAACGUUGAAGACGACGACGUUGAUAGGCCGGGUGUGUAAGCGCAGCGAUGCGUUGAGCUAACCGGUACUAAUGAACCGUGAGGCUUAACCUU